UGAAAUACCAUCAAUGUAUUGAUAAAAUAAUCGGGGAAUAACGAGAUGAUAAGUGUCAAAUCCAUGGAUUAAAAUUCGAUGGUUAACAAUGAAAAGAUUCAAGAAAAACUAGGAUAGAUCCAACAAGCAUCACAUUUUUUAGAAACAUUCACGGGACACUUUUGCAAUGACCGUAAUCGGGAUAAAAUAAAUGGAAAAAAUAAAAAUAAAAAUUAAAUUGUAAAGAUAAUGUCACAAAUAAGAAGUAUGUGUCAAAAAGUCAGAAAGAAAACACUAUUUGAAUGGUUAAAAAAAUGUGAAAGAAAAAAAAAAUAAGGGUUGAAAAAGGAUGAAAAAAUAGGGAAAAUGACAACAAGGGAUUGAACCCAAGACAUGGGGACAUGAGGCAUGAAACUUCAACCAUUCCCAUAUAAUUAUAUUAUUGAUAAAUAACUACCUUCAUAAAUAUAUAAUAUAUGGUGGUUUGUAAAAAUGGA
rnacentral:lncRNA from 1 species